AGUGAACGCUGGCGGUAGGCCUAACACAUGCGAGUCGAACGGCAGCACAGUAAGAGCUUGCUCUUACGGGUGGCGAGUGGCGGACGGGUGAGGAAUACAUCGGAAUCUACUUUUUCGUGGGGGAUAACGUAGGGAAACGUACGCUAAUACCGCAUACGACCUACGGGUGAAAGCAGGGGAUCUUCGGACCUUGCGCGAUUGAAUGAGCCGAUGUCGGAUUAGCUAGUUGGCGGGGUGAAGGCCCACCAAGGCGACGAUCCGUAGCUGGUCUGAGAGGAUGAUCAGCCACACUGGAACUGAGACACGGUCCAGACUCCUACGGGAGGCAGCAGUGGGGAAUAUUGGACAAUGGGCGCAAGCCUGAUCCAGCCAUACCGCGUGGGUGAAGAAGGCCUUCGGGUUGUAAAGCCCUUUUGUUGGGAAAGAAAAGCAGCAGGUUAAUACCCCGCUGUUCUGACGGUACCCAAAGAAUAAGCACCGGCUAACUUCGUG
rnacentral:rRNA from 1 species